rnacentral:rRNA from 1 species
UACGUAGGCAGCGAGCGUUGUUCGGAAUUACUGGGCGUAAAGAGUGUGUAGGCGGUGCUCUAAGUUCGGUGUGAAAUCUCCUGCUUAACUGGGAGGGUGCGCCGGAAACUGGAGUGCUUGAGCGUGGGAGAGGAAAGCGGAAUUCCUGGUGUAGCGGUGAAAUGCGCAGAUAUCAGGAGGAACACCGGUGGCGAAGGCGGGUUCUCUGGGACGGUACUGACGCUGGAGACGCGAAAGCGUGGGGGAGCGAACAGG